rnacentral:rRNA from 1 species
UUAAUAGCGUGCUUGUUUGACGUUAGCUGCAGAAGAAGCACCGGCUAACUCCGUGCCAGCAGCCGCGGUAAUACGGAGGGGUGCGAGCGUUAAUCGGAAUUACUGGGCGUAAAAGCGCAUGCAGGUGGUUUGUUAAGUCAGAUGUGAAAGCCCGGGGCUCAACCUCGGAAAUUGCAUUUGAAAACUGGCAGACUAGAGUACUGUAGAGGGGGGUAGAAUUUCAGGUGUAGCGGUGAAAAUGCGUAGAGAUCUGAAGGAAUACCGGUGGCGAAGGCGGCCCCCUGGACAGAUACUGACACUCAGAUGCGAAAAGCGUGGGGAGCAAACAGGAUUAGAUACCCUGGUAG